UUUAUUUAGGACAUUUGUAAGCUGUCCACUUUCUCAAUAAUAUAAGAUGGUUUUUAAAAGUAGAAUUAAAACAGAAUACAAUUGAGACAAAUCUUAAAUCAACAUUAAAACAAUAAGGUAUUACAUUAAAAUGAUUAAAAACAAUUAAAACAACUGAAGCCAUUACAAUGCCUAGGCAAACAAGUAUGUUCUGAGCUCUUACCUAAACCAAUUGUACAAUUUUAUACACUAUUGUGAACAUUGGUGAAUCUGUCUCAGGCAAUUGGCAACCAUUGAACUUGUUUCUACAUAGGGGAUAUGUGGGACUCUAAGGAGGUACCACUUAUCAUCCAUGUUGCUGCAUGCUGGACCUCACAACAAGCACAUUAUGGGAACAUUACAAUAAUCUAAUGUGGAGAUUUCAUGAGUUCAUGAGUCACUAAAACUGGGCCUCUUUCCUCCAAUUAAGGAUUGAAGGAAAAGCUACAUAAACAGCCUUCUGAGCCACUGAUGUUACAUGGCUAUCAAACUCUAAUGCUGGAUAUAGGAGGAUCCCAAAACUAACCUCAGAGGGAACACAAUCUCAGCCCAAAACAGAGUGUAAAUUCAACCAUAACAGGAAUUUUUCAUUUGUUUAUAGGAAGUUUUAACAAAUACAUAUAAAUGUUUUGCUGAAUAGUUAAUCUUAAAACAGUCUAAUAUUGGGUUAUUCUAUAAGUCCUGGCGUACUCUAUGCCUUGUAUUGACUGGCACUUAAAAGAAGUUCCUUGUGACAAAUUUCAAACUUCUGUUUCAGAACAUCCCACUACUUAUAUAGCCUUGUUCUUUUGAUCUUAUUUGCUUUGACCUGUAGGAUCUCAGUAACAUGAUACAAAAAAAUUCAGGGGAGACCAUUUUCCUCAUUACUCAUCCUGAUUACAGUAUCUUUUAUCUGAACUUUUAUUCACUAUCUGGGUUCACAAAACACACUGGGUUAAAAUGUGGUUGGUUAGUUUGUGGAUUAAAGUAUCAUAUAAACCAUUCAAAAACCUUAACAAGGCUGUCAGGGCUGUUUCAUAUAUUAUGUGAGGAGGAACAUGGUUUACUUAGUAAUCAUAUGUUUAGCUGCAAAAGCCCAGUUUAUGUAACUGGUGCAAUUAAGUAACUUCCAAGAAUCUCUUAAAUAUACAUCCUAAUAAUUUUACACCGUAAGUGUACACUUCAGAAAUGUAAUGCAGAAGAGACACAGUAAUCUAGUAGAAGCAUUCAUCAGUUGUUGAUGUUAUAAGCUCAAAUAUCCACAGUAAGCAGGUUAAAUAUCCAAUGUAUAGUGCAUAGCACCUGUUUUCUGAAUGCCAUGUGAACUUUAUGAAUAUAAUCUAUGUGCUUUAGUGAAAAAGUAAUCACAUCAGGUGGAGGAAAGGAAUUUCUACCUUAGGGUUCACUGCAUUCCAAAAGGGAAAUCCCACAAGUUUAAAAUAAGGCUUGAUCCCAAACGGCUGUUUAGGAUUGUAACUUUAAGUCCAAGGAGUGUGAUUUAGGAAGCUACCGAGUUUGAGAACUGAAGCCUAGAAGAUGUACAAUUCAUUACUCUGUAAGCAUUUACCAGACUGUUGUCAGCCCUGUUCCUGCACCGUGUCAGAUGUUUCCCAUGGUGGAAAUCACUGUUAGAUCUCUGUCGCUUCUAAACUGCCAAGAGGAACAGAGUAAUAAUUAUCUGAAACACUCUACACAGGAAAGAAGGAAAGGAAGCACGGCCAGGCCGUCUACAGCUCCAGCUCGGCAGCUCCGACCCCGCUCAUUCCAGGGUCUCCACCCCCACCUUCCUGUUUUCUCUGCAGGGGGUGGCAACGAGGUCACCAUCCGAGAGAAACUGGAAGGGGGAAGCGGCAGCUGCAGGGAGGCGAAGAGCCGCGAAGGAACCUGCCGAAGCGGAGGCCCGCGCGGGCAGGAGAGAUGGUCGCUCCCCGGCGCGAAGGACGCGCGGAUUCGUAGAACAGGCCGGAGGCGGAGCCGGCCGAGAAGAGCAAGCCGGGGACGGACGGGCGCGCGCGACCCAUAAGGGAACGCUCGGCAGGCGGCAGCGCCCCGGCCCUGCCCGCGCCGAGCUUGCUGGCUUCUGCGUGGCGCGACGUGCAGCGAAUAGGAAAGCCUGCUUUACCUGGGGCCAGAGCGAGGGAGCGUCAGUCAGUCUCCCGCCCCCGAAGCUGAAGAGCCGUCGUCACGCCAGGCGGGCGUCGCGAGGGAAAGGCGCUGCGGAGGCGGCAGAGGGUCGGCUCUUCGCUAAAGGGCGUUUUUGGUUGCGCGCGCUCGCUUCGCAAAGCACCCUUUAUAAGCCCCCGCCAACCACCCAGGCUGCGGCGAUUCGGUCUUAGAAGCACAUCACCCUGGUGGCAGGGGGAUUACUCCCCUAAACAACCUGCCCGUAGUUACUCCAGGGAAAAUCCCACGAAUUGGAUGGGGCUGAGUGCCCCAUGAGCAAAAGACUGCCCAUUUUAGACUGCAACUCCAGAAGCAAAUUGUUCCUUUACUUUUAAGACGCAGUCUCAGAAGAUGGUAAGCCGAGGUCUGCAUUUCAGCGACAAUCCUUAGUGGGAGCGCGCAAGGCCCAGUCCAACUAAGCAUUGCUGACUUCUCCCGAGUAAAUCCCCACCGGCUUGCACGGCGAGUCGAUUUCCAGGGCGGUUCUGCCCGGGACAAGAGUCGGCAACCACUUUUCGCUUGCCAAGCUGUCCAGUCUCCCUCCUCGUUUUAAAAUCCGAUUUGGACUUGGGUGGGAGCAAAGUAAGCGGGGGAGAGGGAAGGCAGCCCAGACGGCCGCGGAACGCCACGCGACUCUUGGCUGACAGGCGCAAAGGGAAGACCGGGCGUGGCGCGUGGCCGCGCGAAACAGGCAGGUGGCGCCGGCGCUCCCGCUGGACGAGAGCUGCAGAAGCGCGCCUUCCUAGCCAGACUUGGCGCCCGGCUUGUGCCCUUAGUGCGGCUGAGAGUGCAGGAGCAGCAGACCACCUGGAAUGUGGAUGUAGGCUUCUGACAUUAGCAGCGAUGUUGAACUGAGCCUCUUUCCUAAAUGCCUCUGGUGAAGAAUGAUUCGUUUUCUGCCUUGCAUGUGAACCGUUGCUUAUGCCACUGCGAUAGAUACCUGCAAGAACAGGAGAAAGGAGACGAUACCUGUCACUGCCUGGGGCCUUCUCUCCCCCUUCUCCUCUUUUUUUUCCUCAGCUCUUCUGCCCUGGAAGCCGUCUACAGGUCCCAGAGUAAUACUUAGUCCUGGUCCUGUAGGUAGCCACAGUCGCUCAGAUCAGUUAGAGCAAAAGCUCAGACCAGCAAAGCAGGCUCCCUGAUCCAAGUCCGUUCCAGUCCUUUUGGAUGGAUACAGGGGAGCAGCCGACUAGCAGGGACACAACCAGCCAUCAAGUGGAGCACCUCUGGGACUGCAGUCGGUCCCAAGCGCUGCUGACUUUGUUUUACCUUCUCUUUCCCCUCAGCAGCUAUUAAUGGCUUUGGGGUAUAUUUGUAUGGAUUAGCGUGUCACGAGGGCACUCCUUGUCCGCGUCAUGUUGGAAAUAAGAGUGCUGAAGUCAGCCUGCCUUAACCGUGGUUUCUUUCUGCGUGAUGCUAUGCAGCUAGAAUGGGUCACACUGACAACCAAGGAAGGAUCACCACAUUCCUGGACUCCUGGGAUGUUGUUUCAGGAAAAAUCUAACUCUUUCUCAGUGCAUUAUGCUUUUUGUCUUCUGCUUUUUCUCCUAUCUAUACCUCUAGAUAUAAAGACCUAAUUAUAUAAAAGACUUAAUCAGAAAGGCACCGCUAUGGACGUGGGUUUCAAAAUGCUCUGGGGUGGAGGGAAGGUAGUUCAUGGAGAACUGUGAUGUGAGGCAGGAUGCACACCGUCUGCAUUCUUGCUGAUUUGAAACACUCUGUUUUUUUGUGAAGAGCAAGCCCUAAGGGACGAGUUCAGUGACUAAGAAAGCGAUCGCAGAUAAAAGAAAUAAAAAUGACAAGCAUAAUGGAAGCUCAGCAGAAGAAACUGUCAGCGAAAUCAGUGCCUGGAUGGUAAUCUUAUCCAGUCUGAAUAAUUAUGAAUAAUUCAUAGAACAAAAUUACUUUGCUUUCACCUUUUCCACUUAAAAUGGCAUGAUGUGAAUCUCUAAUAAAUUUUCAAGAAAAAAAUAUAACGCCAACUUGAAUCUGAAGAGGUUUUUACAACCAGAUGCUAUAUCCUGAUUCUUCCGGUACCUUUCACAAUGAUUCUGUGAGAACCCUACUUCAUCACGAAGCACUAUUACCAAUGAAAAUUACAGUGAUUACAAUGGCAACAAUAGAGUGCUAUCAAAUGAUUUCUAAUAUACCUAAUUUUCUAAGGCUGACUGCAUUGAUUUUCAUGCGCAGAUCUAAAUGCCUGGCUUCUUGGAUUUUAUAUCAGAAUGUGAUAAAAAUGGCUUGGUAAAUAUGUGUUGUGUUUGGUGCUUUUAUGGGAAAAUGUAGCUUUAUGUUAAAAUGGUUAUAGCCAUCUAUUUAUUUGUUAUUCUACCAUUCUUGAUGAUUGCAUUAAUUUCCUGCUCAUAGGAUUGCAUUCUGUUACAUGUUUGUUUAUACCAUAAUGCUCGAGCACUUAUACAACAGCAAAUUUAGCUGAAUAAUUUGUACAGCUGUAGAAGUAUGUAUUCUUUGAAUUAGAUAAGUACCCUGAACUUGUUUGAAUGGCUGUUUUCAAGUUAAAAAAAAGAUUUCUGUUGUACUGGCAGUUGAGGCUUAGCUAACUAACUAUAUAAUCCAAAAAUGGGUGCGUUACACGAGACAAUUAAAAAUAUAGCAUAUGUGUAACUUAGGAGAUUCUUUAAAAGAAUUAUUCAGUCCCUAGUUUCUUGUUAGCGCAAGUACAUUUUUGUGUUAAUAUGCGUGAAUAUGAUAAAACAAGAACCAGGGUUUAAACAAAUGGGAAACAACAUAGAAUGAAAUUACAGUAUGCUAAAAUUCUCACUAUAUUCUUUUGAAAAUAAAUUCCUAUCUAGCAAGGAGCCACAAAUAUAGGAAAACUGAAUAAACAUUUAUGGGUUCCUAAAAUUAAAGUAGAAUAUUAUUGGUG